CCUACGGGAGGCAGCAGUGAGGAAUAUUGGUCAAUGGACGAGAGUCUGAACCAGCCAAGUAGCGUGAAGGAUGACUGCCCUAUGGGUUGUAAACUUCUUUUAUAUGGGAAUAAAAUGUUCCACGUGUGGGAUUUUGUAUGUACCCUAUGAAUAAGGAUCGGCUAACUCCGUGCCAGCAGCCGCGGUAAUACGGAGGAUCCGAGCGUUAUCCGGAUUUAUUGGGUUUAAAGGGAGCGUAGGUGGAUUGUUAAGUCAGUUGUGAAAGUUUGCGGCUCAACCGUAAAAUUGCAGUUGAAACUGGCAGUCUUGAGUACAGUAGAGGUGGGCGGAAUUCGUGGUGUAGCGGUGAAAUGCUUAGAUAUCACGAAGAACUCCGAUGGCGAAGGCAGUUCACUGGACUGCAACUGACACUGAGGCUCGAAAGUGUGGGUAUCAAACAGGAUUAGAUACCCGUGUAGUC
rnacentral:rRNA from 1 species